CCUACGGGAGGCAGCAGUGAGGAAUAUUGGUCAAUGGCCGCAGGGCUGAACCAGCCAAGUCGCGUGAGGGAUGACGGUCCUCUGGAUUUUAAACCUCUUUUGUCAGGGAGCAAAGGGCGCCACGUGUGGCGCUUGGCGAUUACCUGAAGAAAAAGCAUCGGCUAACUUCGUGCCAGCAGCCGCGGUAAUACGGAGGAGGCGAGCGUUAUCCGGAUUUAUUGGGUUAAAAGGGUGCGCAGGCGGAAUGUCAAGUCAGAGGUAAAAUGUCGGGGCUAAACCCCGUCGUGCAGUUGAAACUGGCGUUCUUGAGUGAGCGAGAAGUAUGCGGAAUGCGUGGUGGAGCGGUGAAAUGCAUAGAUAUCACGCAGAACUCCGAUUGCGAAGGCAGCAUCCCGGCGCUCAACUGACGCUCAUGCACGAAAGCGUGGGUAUCGAACAGGAUUAGAUACCCGAGUAGUC
rnacentral:rRNA from 1 species